UAAGUUUUGUUCAUGUUUCAGGGUAGAGUUAGUGUUGCAGACAUCAUUGGAUUUUCUAGUUCAGAGAUGAUAUCUUCAAAACCUGAUGGGUCUUUAAAAGCUUGGGAGAGUUAUAUUGAUCUUGAAAAUCUCCUUAAGCAUGAAAUACAUGAUGGACAAUUAAGUUUCAGAGGCAAACAAGUACUUGAGGAACCCUGGCUGAUUUGCUUGGCACUGUUUCACGUUAUCGUG